CUCUGGCUCAAUCAUAGUGGAAGCUCUUUCUCUAUCAUUGUCUGCUUUAUCUCUUUCUACCCCUCUAUGAGUCCAAUGACUAUCCAUUUUGGUGUAUCCCAUUCUUCUCAAUGAACAGUCAUUGUAGAUAUCAAAGUGUUGCAACUUCUUAAAGGGUUCUCCUUCUAGGAUGACUCCAAACUCCUUGAAUAUGAGAGUUAGAA
rnacentral:lncRNA from 1 species